UCCAACAAUUUAAUUGAGCAGGACUGGGAUCAAAUCACACUGCAAGCCUAGGAAUGUCGGACUCAAAGAUUGAAGAACCCCAACAAACUCAGUCGACGAGGACGUCGACCGUUUAAGUGGGGGAGUGUCAGGGUCAUAGAGUUUUCAGGGACCAAAACUGUAAUUUUCCAACAUUGGAAUUCCUAGAAAGCAAUAUUGGGAUAAAAUAGUAGAAAUUAGUAGGAAGAUAAUGGCCGAGACAAUUUGUUGUAAUUCCUUUUCAUGUAUUUAUUUUAGGGGGGGUGUCAUAUGAGAC
rnacentral:lncRNA from 1 species